AUUGAACGCUAGCGGGAUGCCUUACACAUGCAAGUCGAACGGAGUGGCGAACGGGUGAGUAAUGUAGCGGAACGUGCCCAGUAGUGGGGGAUAACUACGCGAAAGCGUAGCUAAUACCACAUACUAUUGGAGCGGCAGAUGUCGUAUUAGCUAGUUGGUGGGGUAACGGCUCACCAAGGCGACGAUGCGUAGCUUGUUUGAGAGGACGACCAGCCACACUGGGACUGAGACACGGCCCAGACUCCUACGGGAGGCAGCAGUGGGGAAUUUUGGGCAAUGGGGGAAAGCCUGAUCCAGCCAGGCCGCGUGUGUGAUGAAGGCCUUCGGGUUGUAAAGCACUUUUGGCAGGGAAGCGGUAUCUGCAGAAUAAGCACCGGCUAACUACGUGCCAGCAGCCGCGGUAAUUC
rnacentral:rRNA from 1 species